AAAUCACUAAUUGUUUGUGUAGCAGGGAAAAAACAUCUGCCUACAGCCUAUAUUUUAAAAUUUAAAAUUUUAUUUUUUUACCUUUUUUUUACAUUUUUAUUUUAAAAUAAACAGUGUUUCCAAAAAACAUUGACUACAAGGGGGAAAUGAGGCAAUAAGGUUGGAAGAAGGGAAGGACUCAAGAAGAAAUGCUGAACCUGCAAACACAAUGAUCAGGGAGCAUGCAGAGAGGCCCUUGCUGUGACACUGUCCUCUCACUGCUACUCCUAUGAAGCCCAGUGACUAUGCUGGGACACUGGAGCUAAAGGGUCAAAGAGAAGCAUUUCAUUCCUAAAAGGUGAUGUCAAUUUGUACUUAGCCCCAGCAAUGUGAAUCCCCCUCUUCACAGUCCAAUUCUAAGAUUCCAUUCUUAAGAAAUUACCAAAGAUAGAGCCAAAGAGAUAUAUACAAGAAACUUUAUCACAUCAUCAUUGAUAAUAAAAGUAUCUGAAACAACCAAAAUUUUCAACAGUGUGGGGAUGGAUAAGGUAGAACCACUAGAAAUCUAUUUUCAAAGAUUUAAAAACAUAGGAAGUUACUCGUGAUACCAUGUUAAUCAGUGAGAGGGUAAAGUUAGGAUACCAACCUGUAUCUAUGUAUGACCUUCAAUUUUGUGUAAAUAUACACCUUAUAUGCACUUUUUAAUACUGAAAGGAAAUUCAUAAACAUAUCAGCAAAGUUUAGCUCUGUUUUAGAUGGAGAGAAGAUGGCUAAUUUUUAUUCUUUGUUUAGAUUCUUCUGUAAUGAGCAUUGUUACUUUUAUAUCAGAAAAAUAGACAUUUGCCAUAAAAUAAGUCUACCCUCAAAUCUCUGAUUUAAGACGACAAUUGUCAGUCUUAGGAAAAGCCUGCUAAAGUUCAAAGCAGACUCAAAGAAAAAAGAUUCAAAUCUACACAGUGACUCUCUCCUGAAAAGGAUGAGAAAUCUUGUGUGACGCAGUCUGGCUUUUUCCUCUACUUUGCUGCUGGCUCUAUUUUACUGCGCCUCACAGAAAGCUCCAUGGGAAAACCCUUUCCCUAGCACCUUAAAUGACCUUAAGUGUUUCUCACCUCUUGGCAUGAGGAUUAGAAGGAAAGAAAAUGAAACAGCCCUACUCCCUUGUUUCAAAGGAAAAAUUUUUCUUGCAAAGCUAUCAAAAUGACUUAAAAUCAGCUAUGCAAAAUUUGAAACAUAAGUCAUGAGUUACGUUCAGUAACCAGUUGCUUUUUUCUCAAGAAUGAAUAUAAAAACAAAUCUAUGAGUGCCCUCUUGUGGCAAGCCUGACUAUUACCACAACCCAAAAAUGCCUGCCUGAAGACAAGUGGGAAUGAAGGGUCAGAAGAGCAAGAUGCAGGAUGUGCACGUGGGUUCAUGGGCUGCUACUGAUGGCCGAUGGUGACUGUGUCUGGUAUAUCCAUGCACACAUACCAUGGCACUGCCAGGAGGCAGGGACCUGUAGGAUAAAUAGCCCCUCCCCUAGGAAUGCCAGUUUUAUAAAGUCGCGAAGUUUUACAUUUACAUCCAGUGAGCCUUGUGCUUACAAGUAGUUUUAUUAUUAAUUUUAGAGUAAACAUCACCAACUUGGGCACAAUUCCAAAAUAGAGCUCUUGUUGGAUUCUGGUCAUAAAAUU
rnacentral:lncRNA from 1 species